GGGACAAUGACGCUCGUAAGGGUUUUUCGAGAGUCUUUUUUUUUUUUUAAACUCUUUGCGUUUUUUUUUUUUGUUAUAUGGUUGUAUUUGUCUUAUAUGUUGAGCGGAUUGUGCGUGGCCAACCUGAGGAAUUAUGUAGCAUAGGGAGGAUUAAUGUUAGAGGGGAAUAAGAUUAGGAUUAUAACUUUGAUUGUUAAGGGUUUGAAUACUGCACAGAAACGUAAGCUUUUAGUAGAUCAUUUAUGGAAAAAGAAAAUUACUGUUGGAUUUAUA